UACGUAGGGCGCAAGCGUUGUCCGGAAUUAUUGGGCGUAAAGAGCUCGUAGGCGGUCUGUUGCGUCCGCUGUGAAAACCCGGGGCUUAACCCCGGGCUUGCAGUGGAUACGGGCAGACUAGAGGCAGGUAGGGGAGAAUGGAAUUCCCGGUGUAGCGGUGAAAUGCGCAGAUAUCGGGAGGAACACCGGUGGCGAAGGCGGUUCUCUGGGCCUGACCUGACGCUGAGGAGCGAAAGCGUGGGGAGCGAACAGG
rnacentral:rRNA from 1 species